GACACGGCCCAGACUCCUACGGGAGGCAGCAGUGGGGAAUAUUGCGCAAUGGGGGCAACCCUGACGCAGCCAUGCCGCGUGAAUGAAGAAGGCCUUCGGGUUGUAAAGUUCUUUCGGUAGCGAGGAAGGCAUUUAGUUUAAUAGACUAAGUGAUUGACGUUAACUACAGAAGAAGCACCGGCUAACUCCGUGCCAGCAGCCGCGGUAAUACGGAGGGUGCGAGCGUUAAUCGGAAUAACUGGGCGUAAAGGGCACGCAGGCGGCUAUUUAAGUGAGGUGUGAAAUCCCCGGGCUUAACCUGGGAAUUGCAUUUCAGACUGGGUAGCUAGAGUACUUUAGGGAGGGGUAGAAUUCCACGUGUAGCGGUGAAAUGCGUAGAGAUGUGGAGGAAUACCGAAGGCGAAGGCAGCCCCUUGGGAAUGUACUGACGCUCAUGUGCGAAAGCGUGGGGAGCAAACAGGAUUAGAUACCCUGGUAGUCCACGCUGUAAACGAUGUCGAUUUGGGGGUUGAGCUUUAAGCUUGGCGCCCGUAGCUAACGUGAUAAAUCGACCGCCUGGGGAGUACGGCCGCAAGGUUAAAACUCAAAUGAAUUGACGGGGGCCCGCACAAGCGGUGGAGCAUGUGGUUUAAUUCGAUGCAACGCGAAGAACCUUACCUACUCUUGACAUCCAGAGAACAUUCCAGAGAUGGAUUGGUGCCUUCGGGAACUCUGAGACAGGUGCUGCAUGGCUGUCGUCAGCUCGUGUUGUGAAAUGUUGGGUUAAGUCCCGCAACGAGCGCAACCCUUAUCCUUUGUUGCCAGCGAUU
rnacentral:rRNA from 1 species